rnacentral:pre_miRNA from 1 species
UAGCAGCACAUCAUGGUUUACAUACUACAGUCGAUGCGAAUCAUUAUUUGCUGCUCUA